AUGGCCCAAGUGCUUGGGCCUCUGCACCCGCAUGGGAGACCAGGAGGAAGCACCUGGCUCCUGGCUUCGGAUCAGCCCACUCUGGCUGUAGCGGCCAUUUGGGGGGUGAACCAAUGGAGGGAAGACCUUCCUCUCUGUCUCCUCUCUCACUGUCUAAUUCUAUCUGUCAAAUUAAAAAAAAAGUGGCUCUGGUGGCAGCGUGGGACAGCUCUGGCUCAGAGGCAUCUUCCCCACAGAGAAACAGGAACCAUCAGGGGACGGAAGUGCAGAUUUUGCUACAUGAGGAUUUCAGACUUUUCCGCCUUCAACUCAUUCACCCUUCAAGAAGGACUUCCAGGGAAGCCUCAACGAGAUCUCCCUUUCUCCCAAAAGCAAAGUUCGGGUCCCUGCUGCGUGACCUCAGGGCCACACAUGAGAGAAUUUCCAGAAAGUUCCACAUUGGAAGUACACGGGAUCUCCAGAAAGGUCAUCGAAAAUGUUUAUUAUGAAAAACUAUGCAUGGAUUUUAAUUUUUCUGCACCCAAAUAAACUUAUUUUUUAAUUGCAAACUUUUAAAGUCUCCUCAUAUUGUGGUUCUUUUACUUUCUGUUUUGUUCAACUGGGAGUCCCUUGAGCACAGAGCUUAAUCUUGAUCAUUUUUAAAGAAUAUAGGCCGGCGCCGCGGCUCACUAGGCUAAUCCUCCACCUUGUGGCGCCGGCACACCGGGUUCUAGUCCUGGUCAGGGCGCUGAAUUCUCUCCCAGUUGCCCCUCUUCUAGGCCAGCUCUCUGCUGUGGCCAGGGAGUGCAGUGGAGGAUGGCUCAAGUGCUUGGGCCCUGCACCCCAUGGGAGACCAGGAGAAGCACCUGGCUCCUGCCAUCAGAUCAGCGCGGUGCGCCGGCCGCAGUGCACCGGCUGCGGCGGCCAUUGGAGGGUGAACCAACGGCAAAGGAAGACCUUUCUCUCUGUCUGUCUCUCUCUCACUGUCCACUCUGCCUGUCAAAAAAAAAAAAAAAAAGAAUAUUUGUUUUAUCUAUUUGAAAGGCAGAGUUACAGAGGGUGGGGAGAGAAGAAGGGAGAGAGAGGUCUUUUGUCCACUGGUUCACUCCCCAAAUGGCUUUAACAACUGGGGCUGGGCCAGGCCGAAGCCAGGAGCCAGGAGCUUCAUCCAGGUCUCCCCCCGGGGCCCCGGCUCCAACUUCCAAACUUCCUGCAAGGAAGCUGAACCUGCCCAUCGCCAUGAGCCCAAUCCAGCAUAAAGGUCACGGUCGAGAGCAUGGAUUUUAGAAUCACACAGACUCAGCGCCAGCGCUGUGGCGUAAAAAUAGAUUAAGCCUCUGCCUAUGGAGCUGGCAUCCCAUUGGGUCCCGGUUCAUGUCCUAGCUGCUCCUCUUCCAAUCCAGCUCCCUGCUAAUGCACCUGGGAAAGCAGUAGAAGAUGGCCCAAAUACUAGGGUCCCUGCACACACACGGGAGACCCAGAAGAAGCUCCUGGCUUCAGAUCUGCCCAGCUCCGGCCGUUGUGGCCAUUGAGGGAGUGAACCAAUGGGUGGAAAACCCUCUCUCUGUCUCUCCCUCUCUUUAUCUGUCCCUCUACCUCUCAAAUAAACAAUCUUAAACAACAACA
ensembl:lncRNA